rnacentral:lncRNA from 1 species
GCCUUCCGGCCCCUGCCCCCCCGCCCCGCCCCCCAGCUGCCCCGGGGCGCCGAGAACCGCGGCGACCCUGGACUCGGCGCCAGUGGUGGGCGUGGGCCGGACGGAGCAGCGGGCCUGGAGCUGGGGAGGGGGAAUCUAAGGAGGGGGCAGGAGCACCCCCAGGGAUCCUAGAGGCGAUCCCGGGAUCCUGGUUGGCGUUGGGGGCCGGGUGCGGGAGGGUGAGCCUGCGAGCAUCUCAGCGCCGCACAGCAACGUGCUUCGACCUCUGCAUCUUUGCAGUGGCGCGAAGGGCAGCGCGGCAGGUGCAGGCAGGAGACGCCAAGGGAGAGGAGACGUGGUGCCCCCCCGGAGACUUCCCUAUUACCGCCGCAAAACUGCCCCUGGCGAGCUGUUGGGGUGCCUCGUGUCCGUGAGGUGGGGGCGGGAGAAGUUGGGCAGGAGCUCGGCCGACAGUAACGUAGAAGACACACGUUAAGGGUGGUCUCUCAUCUGCUCACUGAGCUUGUCGCCUCUUCCCGUUUGCCCAUUUAUGCAGCCAGAUGAACUGUAGCCAGUCAUUGCCCUAUGCUUUUCUUAAAGUCAGAGCAUUUUCCCCACAAAUCCUGCCAUAGAUGGGUCCUGGGGGGCGUGCAAGUGACUGUAUCACAGAAACGUAUAGUUCGUCUGAAGACAGGGGAUAGUUUGGCUAGUGUUACACUUCUUACAGAGAUUUUCACUGGCAGCUGCUCUGUGUUCAGGCACUGUGCUGGGUGCCAAUGGAGACAGCGGAGACCACAGCAGAGGACUGCUUUCAUCGUCCAGGUGUUUCCCCUCCCCCACAACCCACAGCUUCAGCUGACCAGAGUUGUUUUCAGGGUAAUUUCCUCUUAAUUACCUACACAUACUUCCUCACAAUUUCAUGUGGCAGUGCUGUUUUGCCCCCGCACUGUAUGCUCUUUCCUUAGCUUCCUGCUUUCCCUUUCCAGUCUUUCUAUUGCUGUUUUAAUAGUCCCUGCCUUUCAAACUCCAUUUCUCUAUUUCUAUUGGUUCCUUUUUCGGGUCCUUCUGAUUCUGAUAGAAAGAAACAUGUAACCCCCACUCAAAGCAAUGAAACCCGGAUCCUCAACAGCAGCAACAGAUUUUGGUAACAAAUCAUUUUGAACCAUAUGACUGCCAAAGUCUGAGCAGAAAGAAGAGAAUUCUGUUAGAAUUCAAACCCUAAGUCUACACUUAAUUGCAUGCUUUAUUCUAAUGGAAGAACUUGCGUAAGCUCCUUGACACCAUCUUGCCAUUAUGCCCAGUCUGCCUGCCUUCUUAUAGAGCAGUAAAACCUGAGAUCCCAGGUGGAAUAUGAAACUACCAGGAAUGGUUCAGGAAGCUGAGAAUGGUUCUGUUGGGAGCAUGGGGAGAGAAGGAAGGACAGCUCCAAAAGAAAUCGGGAGACACCUCUUAAUCAGUCACUAGGUUGGCAAUGGUAAUCAGAUGGAUUGAGUGCUUCGAUGCCCCCUGCCAAUCAAGAUCACAUUGGUCCCAAGGCUCCCAUCGUGUUGCACCCUGGUCUAUGCUACUUUGCGAUGAGAGACCCAGCUAAGAGCACAAGUUGUUUUCUCGCAAGGCUGAGCACCUCCACAGCCUGUGCUAGGAGAACUCUCUCUCUUUCUGUUAACCUUUUUAAGCCCUUGAUGAUUUCAGAACAAUUCUGUCUGAAGAAUUUAUUCAGGCACAGACAUGAAAAAACUACCAAUACAUGCUAGAAGAUGGAUGGACCUCAAAAGCAUUAUGCUAAAUAAAGUACGCCAGAUGCAAAAGAUGCCACUUUUAAGAAAGUUCCAGAAAAGGAAAAUAUCUAGAGACAAUCGAUUAGUAACUGCCUGGAGUUGGAGGUGGGAGCAAAGACUGACUUCAAAUGCGCACAGGA